rnacentral:rRNA from 1 species
GACGAACGCUGGCGGCGCGCCUAACACUUGCAAGUCGAUCGAGAGAGAGGGAGCUUGCUUCCUCGAUCGAGUGGCGAACGGGUGAGUGACGCGUGAGGAACCUGCCUCCAAGAGGGGGACAACAGAUGGAAACGACUGCUAAUACCUCAUAAGCCUACGGCUCGGCAUCGAGCCGAGGGAAAAGGAGCAAUCCGCUUUGAGAUAGCCUCGCGUCCGAUUAGCUAGGUGGUGAGGUAAUGGCCCACCAAGGCGACGAUCGGUAGCCGGACUGAGAGGUUGAACAGACACAAGGGGACUGAGACAGGGACCAGACACCUACGUGAGGCAGCAGGGGGGAAUAUUGCACAAUGGGGGAAAGCCUGAUGCAGCGACGCCGCGUGGAGGAAGAAGGUCUUCGGGUUGUAAACUCCUAUUGUUGAGGAAGAUAAUGACGGUGCUCAACAAGGAAGUAACGGCUAACUACGUGCCAGCAGCCGCAGUAA